UAAAAUUAUAAAUAUUUAAAGCAUUUUAAAAACUUAAUAAAAAGUUUUUAAAAUUAUAAUAUUUAACUUUUGAUAAAGUUAUAAUAUUUAUAAUUUCUUGAAACAUUUUAAAGUUUCAAUUCUUUAAAAUAAAAAAUCCGAGUAAAAUCGGAUAACUAUUUUAAUUUUGGACGCCUGAUAAAUCAAGCUUCCUACUCAUUCGUAAUCAGAAUCAUUUUGGUCCUUUUAUAAUAUGGGUCUGAACCAUUGUCCAAUUUUUCUAAGCGAUGUGGGACAUUGUACACAUAUUAUUUCUUCAUAGGUUGAAUAAUAAAUAUCCGUUUUAAAAAUUUUUGAAUUACAUCAUAUUCAGAAAAAAUAUAAUAUUUUAUUAACUAUAUAUAUUUUAUAUAAAUUCAAAAUAAAUAAAGUAUAAGAUCAAAUAAAAUUGAAAGAAGAAUUAUAUAUUUAUGUUUAAAUUAGGUAGAAAUAUUUUAGGAAAUUAGUUAAGGUAAAUAAGAAAUAUGGUUAGUUUAGAGAUAUUGUUUAUAUUAAAUUUGGUAAUUAAAUCAUUAAUUUUCGUUUUUAAUUAUUAGUUUUUAGGUAACUUUUCCAAAAAUUAAUGUUAUCCAAGAUCAGAACAGAAUUAAACGUGUUAUCCAGGAUCCGAACAGAGUUAAACCGGGUAAAACCCACCUAUUUGAAUUAAUUGUUGAAUUAUGGCUCAAAUCUUCACCAUUAUCUUCAAAAAUCCCCUCCAAAAAUGUAUAUAUAGAUACCGAAGAAAAAAAUCUAGUAAUAUAUU
rnacentral:sRNA from 1 species